GGAAGAGUGACCGAGUGGCUUAUGGAGCACGCUUGGAAAGCGUGUGUACGCUAACGCGUACCGUGGGUUCGAAUCCCACCUCUUCCG
rnacentral:tRNA from 1 species